rnacentral:rRNA from 1 species
UACGAAGGGGGCUAGCGUUGCUCGGAAUCACUGGGCGUAAAGCGCACGUAGGCGGGUCCUUAAGUCAGGGGUGAAAUCCCGGAGCUCAACUCCGGAACUGCCUUUGAUACUGGAGAUCUUGAGUCCGGAAGAGGUGAGUGGAACUCCGAGUGUAGAGGUGAAAUUCGUAGAUAUUCGGAGGAACACCAGUGGCGAAGGCGGCUCACUGGUCCAUUACUGACGCUGAGGUGCGAAAGCGUGGGGAGCAAACAGG